ACUACAUCAAAGCAUUAGCCCUGAACACAACCAACCACACAGACGUUUUGAUCCAGCAACCUUCACAGGACACAAUUCAAGUUGACAUCAUCGGUCUUGAGAAGGAAGGUGACUCCAUCAAAGUAGGCCGACUUUAUUAUGGAAGAAGAGGUCGCAACAGAAACAUGGGAACGACUUCGGACAUCAACACCACCAUGUUGUCUCUUCAGGAAAUAUCAACUUACAUGUAUGAGUUGAUAGUGCAAGGCGACCAGAUUCAUCGGAAAUACCCUUGAACUGCCUAAGUAUUAAGUAUUAACUGUAAAGAAAAAUACAUUCAAAUGGAGACAUUUAAUAGUAUUUUAUUUAACAUUUUCAGUAUACAUGUAUUAUUAGCCAACUUGGUAUUUGAAAACUGCUCAAUUGAACAAUAGGCACAAACAUAUAGGCACAUGCCUAUUUCUAAAACCAAUCCAACUGAAUCAUUAGAGAAUGUCACAUUUUUAGUUAGCAAAUCUUCACUCCUGGGGCAGUAGAAAUAGUGCUAAAAGUAAUUUUCUUUUAGAUUUUUAGUAUAUUAUUAGCCAACUUAGGGUUAGAAAUCUUUAUUUUAUUUUUUAAUCUUUUUAUUUUUAGUCACAUAUAAUACAGCAUAUUUGGUAGACAACUUCAUGUUUGUAAUUUUUUUUUGAUCAUUUUGAUUUGCGGUAACAACUAGUAAUAACUACCAUCACUCAGAUGAUGUACUUUUGCUAAGUAGUGGUACUUUCGCUUAGUAGUUUUAAGUUCUGAUAAGAACUCCGCGUACAAUAGGUUCGCGCACUUCGCGAACGCAGCGGCUGUGGCACAUUAGCAUAGUUUUAGCAUAACAAAGACGCAUUGUCAUGCAAUGCAAAUGAACCUGGAGAGCUUGAUGUUUACUCUUAACUUGGGAUCACAAUUAGUUCGCGAAUCUUCGCUGACUUCGUGAACAGUCAUUUUUUAAGCCUGCCCCAAGGCAGAAUUAAUGCACUUGAGGUUUUCCGGCAAGAUUUUAAAAUGUACAUGUAGGUAUGUGUUUUCUGAAUGGUUUGGAAAUCUAAACAUUAAUUUCUUUUGUUUUCCUGACACCAUAUGCUCCCUAUAAAUGACGUGUAGUCAAUUUUCCCAAGAAAUAUCAUAACUAAACUCAUAAGACGUGGUUUUAUUCAUGAAGUACCCAUGAACUGCAUCCGAGUACAUUGUAUUGUUCAAGAACUGUUCAUGAAAUGUGUCCUUAUUUAUUAAAUUGACAUUUAAUGAAUUAAUUUCAUCAAAA